CAUUUAAAGGCUUGACUGCUCCACGAGCCUGGGAGGGAUUUUCCAUGUUUGCAUGUUUCAGCACACAAUCUUACGAAACCCUGAACUGACACACAAUCGGUAUCUUUUGACAGGACUGCAUUAUUGAGGUCUAGUUAUAAAAAGGGCACCACGAUAGAGAGAAAAUAAAUUGUUCAGUUUGGACAACGAUCUGUUUGUUGACAGUAGCUGAGGACGAAGUAAGUUGACCAGACAGACGUUCACUACUACAGUACUCGCCUGUUAGAGCUGCUUCUCCCUGCAACCAUGGGUGUGAAGGUGCUGCAGUGCUUUCCCUGGUCCAGAAACUCCAAGGAGAGGAGCAGGAGUAGGCAGAGCACCAUCCACGCAGACACCUCCGUGCAAGAGAAGAAACCACAGUCACCUGUUACCCCAGCAUGGCACGAUGAGGGAGCGCAGAGGAGCUCGUGGGAGGCUCGGCACGUGUGCCUGACUCACAAAGCCCUCAUCUGCCUUCGACACCGUCUGGACGGUAACGUCAUUGAUUCCACCAACUGAUGUCCCCCUUGGACGACCGGAAAGGACCCAGGACUGUUACUAAUGCAAGUUCACAGCCACUGAAGCUGCUCCUGCAUUGGGGUCAAAGGGUGGCUGCUAAUACAACUUAUACGGCAGGACUCACUAAGUGAGCCUCAAUCGGCCAUGGGCCUGAGGUGUGAGCUGCUGCAGUGACAGGGACCGCCUGAAGAGGCCGCCACUGAGAGGCUAGGCCAGGUGCAUAGAAGUGUCCACAUUUACCCCUUCAUGCAUUCAUCUCCUAACUGUUUAUCCUGGUUUGGGGUGCAGCAGGGUCUGGAGUCUAUAUGCCAAAUGAGUUUAUGCCAGACCGUAAUACAAAACCUACAUGCAAAUACGUACGCGCAGCCACAUUCUGUGGGAGACCUUUUAGCCUAACUGCAUGUUUUUGGACCGUGGGAGGAAACGCGGACAAACUCCUGAGUUGCCACGGCAAUUCGGUUACUAAAAUUUGUAUGAUGUGCGUGUGCGUGUGUGUGUGUGUGCGUAUAACUGAGAUGUGUGGGCCUCUCCUGUUGGGAUGACUCCCUAUAUCCCGUUGUUACCCCCGUCUGCAGUCUCUGGGCUGUGUUAUCUGUGAGAUAAAGAGCUACCAAGCUUGCUGUCGUCACUCUGAUUUGUCUGCUCUGGUGGGUGGAUUUAAAUGGUGCUGUUUACCCUAACCCUGCUGGAGACAGCUCUGUGCGGAGACAUGCUGUGUCUCUUCCUCAGAUGCCACAGAUGGAAUGGUCUGGAAGUUCAGUGGGUCCCUGCACCUCACUACAUGCCCGACCCUUAGGCUGUGUUUCCAAAGACUGGGUUGGGAGACACCGGACUUAGCUGUGGGGCCAUGCAGCGGCCAUGGAGAAUACAGUAUGAUUGCACAGUGGAGGGUGAGGUCAGUCUUUUUUUUAAUGUUUGUAAAGGGCCAAAACCGAACUAUGAUUCAGGUGGAAUGUGGAUUCAGAGCCUUCAUCUGUUGAUUUUUCAUGAGCAUUUUUCAUUUUACCUCUCUACAUGCGCUGCACAUUUCUUGACACAUUAAAUUUCUGCUGUAAAUAAUGUUGCUCUU